rnacentral:misc_RNA from 1 species
CUAUCUAUAGCCCUUAAGCUAAUGAGAAAAUAAACCUCCUACUAAACAGGAAAAUACAAUAUUUUCAAAAUAAAAUAAACUUCUCAGAGAAUAAAGAUCCUAUAUAGAUAUUUUAUGCUUCCUAUUUAGGAAAUCCGAAAUAGAAAAUUAUGCAAAAAAUGCUGAAUAAAAACAUUGACUCAAAGGCAGAAUAAUUAAACCUUGAUGCCCUGGAAUUUGUCACAAAUAAGUAUAGGCCUAUUAGUGUUGCUUGAAAUAUUCCUACAUAGGGGUGUAAAUGAGCUAAGUUGUGCCCAAUAUUUUGGUUUUCAACUCUGGCUCCUUUAAUUUUAAGUGAACUCUUAACCUGAUUAUUUCAAGUUUGUUUAAUUAAAAAUUAUCAAGUUUGAUUUCACAUUCACUACUCUAAGCAAGUCUACUUGAG